UUCUCCUCAAAGUGUUUCACAGCGUGAACGCGGAUAAUGCUGGACCCACCCAGCACAAAGAGGAAAGCAAGCCCAAACACCUGAAGGAUUAUUCAUAACUUUAAAACCGGCCAGUGUGAGAUUAUUUUGGAAUCAACACAAGACUUGAUUUUGACAGAAGUUCUGCUCCUCGACCAAAGCUUGGGCUUGCCACCAGCAUAUGCUCACUUUAUGUUUGUCCACGACUUCAAAGACCAAGAGGCCAACAGGCUGCACUUCCAACCCGCCGCACAGCUUUUGUUUCCCUAUUCCUAGGGGCCCUUCGGAAGCCGCAGCAGAGACGCGCAGGUGCUGGUUUACUACCCCGCGAGGCCGGUAACCUCCAGGCGAGCGGGGGAGAAGCUCCGGGCAGAGCCCCAGGCACCCCACAGGCCCCGCUCCGGGCCGGCCCGGCCGCCGCUGCGCCGGAGGGCAGACCCGGCGGCGGCACCUCGGCCAAGGCAGGGAGGGGAAGAGCCGAGCAGGUCGCUAAUGGAAAUGAAAGGCUGUUACCUGAGGCAGCGGCAGAAGGGAGAAUUUUUCAUCAUAUCAAGGAAGUGACAAAAGACCCCAUCCUUUGACUCAGAACUACUAACAGAACAGGAGGAGCCUUUGGGAACAGUCCUGCCAAGUGACCUGCGACAGCAGAUUCGCUUGAUGAUUAUGUAGAUGUGACUGAAGAUAAUCAUCGGCGGUGGGAGGACAGGUCUGUCAUGGAAUGUCAUUAUCAGCUGGUACCGCUGGAACUUCCAGACUUGGUUGGAUAUUGAUUUUA